GAAGCCUAAUGAUUCCUGCAUCGUCUCACUUACCGCAAACAUCAGCUUUGGGAGCCCUUCAUCCCAGUCCUUUCCCGUUUCGAGACAGAAAGCCCGUGGCAUGGACUUGAGAGUUUGGUGGAAUCUCUCCAACAUGCCUUGCGACUCCGGAUGGAAGGCAGACGACAACUGAUGCUUGACAGUUAGUUCGCGAAGAACCUGAGAAAACAGCUUCGAGCUUAGCUUUUAUACUGCGCAUUGGAACGGCCUCCGGAAAACGAGUGGCAGCACACAUAAAAGAAUUGGGUGUAAAGGAGCAGGAGGAACACUCUGAUUCGGCUUGCCCGUCACCUGACAAAUAUGAGCUCCGCUGUGGAAGAUGGGGUCAGACGGGUGACGGUUGGCCUUUUGGAGAAACUGGAGGAGCCAAACAAGCUGUUGAGGGAGCUGUAGGAGGGAUGAUGUCACAGUGCAACAGCUUUAGAAUAAUGUUUGGUCAGGUCUAUAUUCUGAACAAAGAAUUGCAAAACGUCUGAUACUUUAGGGGGAAACAAAGAAUUAAACUGUUCCAUCUAAAAAAAAUUUUUUUAUUAAUAUUUUAAUAUAAAAGAACCAGAUAAAGACUGAUAAGCAGCUGGUGUUAUCCAGGUAUUUUAAUGACCUUUAAGCAAAAAUAAAACAUGUAUUCACCUGUUUUAUACAAAUUACUGUUUUAACUUUGACUA